GCCUUUGUAGUUUAACGGAUAAAACAGACCCCUCCUAAGGGUUAGCUAGAGGUUCGAUUCCUCUCAAGGGCA
rnacentral:tRNA from 2 species